ensembl:lncRNA
AGCAAAGUGAUCCACUGAACCAGAGUGUUUGCCCUCUCAUAAUUACGUUGAGCUUUUCCCUUUUUUCACCCUCCCCCUGCUUCUUUUUUUUUCAUCACUCUUUGAGACUUCGGGGCUAGUGGUAAUUAGCCAGAAGAGAAUAAAACCAGCUGAUCGGGAGAGGGGUGGUGCAUUUUGGAGCGAGAUGGCUAACAGAAACAUUCUGUUGCUCUUCUGUGGACUCUUCCUCUUAGCACUGAUUCAACCCUCUCUUCAAGGAGGUGUGUAUCUACCACCUGGUGCUGGGUUAGGACCAGGAGGCGGUGGAACAGGAACUGGAUUCUUUCCAGGGGCUGCUGGAGGGUUCCCUGCGGGCUAUAAACCAGCUAAAGCUGCAGGAGGUUAUGCAGGAGGAGGUGGAGGCCGAGGCCUAUUCGUGCCAGGGGCAGGUGGCCAGGUCAUUGCAGGAUUGCCAGCAGGACAAGGUGGAAAAGCCCCUAAACCAGGAUAUGGAAAUCUAGGAGGUGGCGGCCUGGGGCCUGGAGGCUAUGGAGGAGGUGGCUAUGGGGGCUACUAUCCGGGAGCUGGAUCAAAGGCUGCUAAAAGCGGUAAAAUGCAGGGCAGAAAAUGUCUUGGUAGAAAUGUAACAUCGGCGGCUAAUAAAAGAGUGACGGCAUCAGCG